rnacentral:rRNA from 1 species
AAACUUUCAACAACGGAUCUCUUGGUUCUGGCAUCGAUGAAGAACGCAGCGAAAUGCGAUAAGUAGUGUGAAUUGCAGAAUUCAGUGAAUCAUCGAAUCUUUGAACGCACAUUGC